CAGAAAACUGGAUUCAAACAGAUGAUACCGGUCUUGUGGCGUGGAAACAACGAUAGCAUGGAGCUAAGAAGCAUUGUUCCUGAAAAAUGAGAUUAUUGCAGUGUAUACACGAUCUUAGCAUCUUCCAUUAACGUUUUACAAAUGGAAAAAUAAUCCAAACCACCAAAAAAUGUUGAAGACCACUCUGUUUUCUCAUCGCCUUUUAAACAGUAGAAUGGGUGUCAUAGUGAAAACCAUCCAAAAGUCGGUGGUCACCGCUCACAUCCCUCUGAGGGAGUCAUGAGAGGAGAGGACUCGCUGGAGGUGAGGAACGGGGAGCUUUUUUACGGAUGGAUGAAAUCUUGUGUUGAGGAUUGAUGGAGAAGUACGCUGUCGGGAACUUUUCACGGUUUUAGGAUUCCUGACCACUGCAGUAUCUUCCAAGCAUUAGUAGAUAUACUGCUCCGAAGGGCAGCCCUCUUCAGAGUGAUGACUAUCAACUCCGGAAGUAGUACAACAAUAUUAGCCUUGAGUUCGCUGACUGUGUGCUCAAUACUUCGGAUAUCGAGACUCUUUAUCUCUAGCAUAUUUAUUUAAUGAUUAGAAUGAUUUGGGUGCCUGACCACAGCGGAAUAGCAGGAAACUGUAAAGUUGAUGAGCUUGUUAGGAUUCUCAAUAACUAUGGAAGGGGAACAGGUAGGAGCUUCGUUGGCUUCUUGUGGUUUCCGAGUGGACUGUAGCAUCUCAGACAAGACCCCAAGACUAGGAAGAUCUUCGCAAGGUUCAACUUUCAAUAGUUUUAGGAGCUCUAACUGAAACCUGUACGAUUGGGAUUCAUAUGGUAUCAUCCCAACACUUCCUCCUCGAAUGUCUCGCUUUUGCCAGAUCAAGGCAAAAACACCUCGGAUCUCAUACUUUUAGACAUCCAGGGGAAAUAGCGAAAACAUAACAUUAAAACCUAAGCAGAGUUGUGGUAGACUUAGAAUGUUUUGCCGUUAGCUGAUAUCCAACUAAAGAAGUUUUUCGUCUAGCUUCUCAAAGUAUUGUACAUAACAGUUUAAGUGUAAUCUCUUCGCCAUGCUGAGGGAUUAGCCAUCUAACCUAACCUAACCUAAGGCUCGUUCACAGCUACAUAUAUGUAUAUUUAAACACUUACCACAGCC